UACAGAGGGUGCGAGCGUUGUCCGGAAUCACUGGGCGUAAAGGGCGCGUAGGCGGCCUGAUAAGUAGGGGGUGAAAUCUUGCGGCUCAACCGCAAGACUGCCUUCUAAACUGUCAGGCUGGAGCACGGUAGAGGCAGAUGGAAUUCCCGGUGUAGCGGUGGAAUGCGUAGAGAUCGGGAAGAACACCAGUGGCGAAAGCGACCUUCUGGGCUGCACCUGACACUCUAGUGCGAAAGCGUGGGGAGCAAACAGG
rnacentral:rRNA from 1 species